UACGGAGGGGGCUAGCGUUGUUCGGAAUUACUGGGCGUAAAGCGCACGUAGGCGGCUUUGUAAGUUAGAGGUGAAAGCCCCGGGCUCAACCUGGGAACGGCGCUUGGGACGGCGAGGCUGGAGUUCGGGAGAGGAGAGUGGAAUUCCCAGUGUAGAGGUGAAAUUCGUAGAUAUUGGGAAGAACACCGGUGGCGAAGGCGGCUCUCUGGACCGACACUGACGCUGAGGCGCGAAAGCGUGGGGAGCAAACAGGG
rnacentral:rRNA from 1 species